rnacentral:lncRNA from 1 species
UCAAGAUGGCUGCCGUUGCCAUGGAAACGAAACAAAUGUGAAAAAAUCCAUUUUUUGGUUUUGGUGAACUGUUUGGAUAUGCUUUAACUCAGAAUCAUUAUAUUUUAAUACAAUGUAGGUGCCCACUAUAUACAGGUGUUGGAUGAUUUUGACACUCAUUGGAACUACUAUGUUGCCAUGGAAACUACACCAAAAAUUUCAAAAAUAUCAAAAUGCUCAAAACUUAAUGAAACUUCACAGUAACGAAGAGCAACAUUGGAAGAUGUGGAAUUUGGCGUUGGAAUUUCC